rnacentral:rRNA from 1 species
UCCUACGGGGGGCAGCAGUGAGGAAUAUUGGUCAAUGGGAGAGAUCCUGAACCAGCCAAGCCGCGUGAGGGAAGACGGCCCUAUGGGUUGUAAACCUCUUUUGUCGGAGAACAAAACCCGGGACGUGUCCCGGACUGCGUGUAUCCGAAGAAAAAGCAUCGGCUAACUCCGUGCCAAUAGCCGCGGUAAUACGGAGGAUGCGAGCGUUAUCCGGAUUUAUUGGGUUUAAAGGGUGCGUAGGCGGUCCGUUAAGUCAGCGGUAAAAUUGCGGGGCUCAACCCCGUCUAGCCGUUGAAACUGGCAGC